rnacentral:rRNA from 1 species
UGCAAGUCAGAUGUGAAAGCCUUUCUGUUCAACGGAAGAAUUGCAUCUGAAACUGCUAAUCUUGAGUAUAGGAGGGGAGAAUGGAACUUCUGGUGGAGCGGUGAAAUGCGUUGAUAUCAGAAGGAACGCCGGCGGCGAAAGCGAUUCUCUGGCCUAUUACUGACACUCAGUGCGCGAAAGCUAGGGGAGCAAACGGGAUUAGAUACCCCGGUAGUCCUAGCCGUAAACGAUGGGCACUAAGUAGAGGGAAUUACCUAUAUUCUCUCUGCCGUAGCUAACGCAUUAAGUGCCCCGCCUGGGGAGUACGGCCGCAAGGCUAAAACUCAAAAGAAUUGACGGGGGCUCGCACAAGCGGUGGAGCAUGUGGCUUAAUUCGAUGCAACGCGAAAAACCUUACCGGGGCUUGACAUGAUAGAAGUAGGAACCUGAAAGGGGGACGAACGGUAUCCAGUCCGUAGCUAUUACAGGUGUUGCAUGGCUGUCGUCAGCUCGUGUCGUGAGACGUUGGGUUAAGUCCCCUAACGAGCGAAACCCUUGUUUUUAGUUACCAGCGGGUUAUGCCGGGUACUCUAGAAAGACUGCCGUCGUCAAGACGGAGGAAGGUGGGGAUGACGUCAAGUCAUCAUGGCCCUUAUGCCCCGGGCUGCACACGUGCUACAAUGGUCGGUACAGACGGAAGCGAAG